rnacentral:lncRNA from 1 species
UUUUUUUUUGUAGGUCUUUAAAUCAAGAAACUGAUUUUUUUGGGGAUGAUUUCAUACAUCGACCUAUAUCGUGUCAUUAACAACAAAAACACUCCUCAUCAGCGUAACUCACCAAACACGUAUCCGUUAGUGUCAAACGAUGAGGACAUAUAUGCUACAGUGCCUAGCUACAUCAAGCUCUCACUGGACGAGAGUACAUAUAUGCUACAGUGCCUAGCUAUAUAUAUAUGCUACAGUGCCUAGCUAUAUAUAUAUGCUACAGUGCCUAGCUACAUCAAGCUCUCACUCCCCACUCAUACAAGAAAGCAAAAGUAAGCCCUUGGAGAGGCUCGAUCUGGCUGCUUAUCGUCUGUCUUGGUCUGUGCGUAAUGCAAGAUGAAACAAAAAUGCUCAGUUGAGCGAUGAUUUCGCCGAAACUGGUACUUCACUGGAGGAUGAAACAAAAUUUCCAGACCCAGCUAAUGAGCCCUAUGUCCUUUCCCCGAUUCAGUGGAUCGCAAGACCACAUCGGAUGAAAGAGCUUGUUAGGCAAGCGAUCAUGAACGAGUCCUGGACACGCACUCUAAAGCGUGUCAUUGGCUUUCCAGGAUGUAGCCCAUCCAUCAUCAAUGAACUGAACCAUUUCAAUCCAGCCGUGCUAGUCUCAGCAUGUCACAUUACAGCUAGCGAAAACAAAAGUGAAAAUAGGUUCAAUGUACACCAGCGCCUCGCUCUAAUGUGAUUUGAUCUUCAACGCCAGCUGCAACAGCUCCAAUCUCAAUUGAGAGAGCUGCAACGCCCUUCCUCAAUUGAGAGAGCUGCAACAGCUCUAAUCUAAUGGUGCUCUCAACUCUCAUGGUUGUUGGGUCGCCUUCCUCCCUUCCCUUUCAGUCGCUCUCGCUUGCACCACAGACAAAGCAAGCCACGCACGCCCUUCCUCUGCAAGUAUCUUCUCUCUUCUUGUCCGAUCCUGCCGCUCCUCUACAUCAAUCAUAUGCACGUGGACGUGCUAGUUUGAGGCACGGGCAUGCAAAACGUGCUCAAUUACUUAUUUUGUCUCGGGAAGCUCACCUAUCUUGGCCUAAUUGACGGCAUAUAGCUCCGGUCAAUUAAAGGACGUACAUCGCUUCGGAAUCACAAUCACAAUCAAACAUCUAAAAUCUUUUUUUAAUUGAAACAUCCAAAAUCACUUUUCCAAAAUAAUUUGGGAGCCUCUAUUUGCCACUUAAUUAAAGAAAAAGAGUGCACCAAUCACUUAUAAUACGGACCUUCAAAUCUUCAUCCAACUGCCCAAAAUAGACUGCGCUAUUGUACAUCAUCUUCCUCCUCCCGAUCCCUAGCCUACGCCUCCCUAACCGCCGGCCUCCACAUCCCUCGGCUGGCGGGCGCUACCAUGCACCGCCCCGCCCUCCCCACAACCUCCCCCGCCGUCGUUGCUAGCUAUCACCCUGACCAUACCUCUAAGACCGGCAGCACCCAUCAAAACAUUCGGCGAAACCCUGCACACACACCCCCCCCUCUCCCCACACCUAAGCUAGAUAAUGGGGCAAUUACUUCACCCUAAGAUAGAUAAUGGGGCUUAGGUCUUAUCCGGCGAGGUCCGGCCAAGAUGGAAGGAAGAAGGAAGGAAGAAGGAAAAAGUGAUUUGGGCGAGAAGGAAUUUUAGGCACCUGAGAAAUAGCUAAUCCUAAAGAAAUUGAUGUCUCAUCUUGUUCUUGUUGCUUUCAUUUUUUAUUUCUGCUACUCACUACUCAGCUCAGCUAGCUCUCGUGCAAAAAUUAACUGCAAAAAAGGCCAAAAGACAAAAACGGGGAAAACCAAAAAAGCAUCUUUUUUGUUUUUCACUCACGAAUAAAAAGAUUCUUGCUUCCAAGACGCUAACAUCGCACCCAACACCCUAAAGGUUUCGUUUCCAUACAAACAAGGAGAAAAUUUCCAUGUUUGUGCACGAUGGGUUCGGCGAUGAGCGGAGCAGCUUUGUGUUUGAUGUCUAUAUAAAGCCUGCGAGGCGGGCCGGAGACGAACGGGGUGUUCCUGGAGCACGCGGGUGACCGGUGAUUUGUGGCCGCCCGUGUUUCAAGCACGGGCCUGCAAAACAUGCUCAAUUACUUUCUCUGACAAAUUUGACAAUUUUGACCUCGGGACGUAAUCAAAUCACAUAAUGAACCGUCUAUAAAACUAUUUCACGUGGCUGACCUUUUUGUGGCGGGCGCCACACCCUACGGUGCGGCGCCUAGCACGGGGACGUUGCACCUCUGUCCACCGUGGCAGCCCAUGGGCCCGCACCUAGCAGUGCAACGCCUCCGAGCUAGGCGCCACACAUGUAAUGUGCAGUGCCUAGCGCUCGGGCGCUGCACUGUGACUUAUCCAGCCACGGCGGCCCUCUCCUCCCCCACCACCCCAUUGCACCACCAGUUACAGAAACAGAAGAAGCCGCGGCGGCGGCCCUCUCCUCUCCCCCUCUCAAUCCCCGCUCCCAAAUUCUUUAGAUCUGACGAUUUGGUCCGUGGAUUCCUUCACCAAUCCAUCCUAGAAGGUAUUCUCCUCCGAUCCCCUUCUUUCUAUCCAUAUAAUGUAUGCUAUUUUGAAGAUUUUGGGGAACCCUUGUUUGCUUUGAUUAGAUUAGAAUGUUGCAUGUAUUAGAAUGUUGCAUGUAUUAGAAUCUUGCAUGUAUUAGAUACCUAAUUUUGCAACCCUAGUUUAGUUGAUUUUAUUGAAAAGAUAUGGUUUGGAUACAUAGGUUGACAUGUUAUUUCUAUGGAAAAGAUAUUUGUAUCGAAUCUUGCAUGAAGUAGGCCUAGUUUAGUUUAUUUGUGUUGAAAUUAUAUUCGUAUUGACAAGAAUGCUUUGAAUUUUGCAUAUAGUAGGCGUUCUUUAGUUUAUUUGUAUCCAAAAGAUAAUUGUGUUGACAAGAAAGCUUUGUUUCAAAUUGUUAGGAUGGUUUGGCUUCUCGAUGAUCACUGGUACAAACAACACCGGUCAUACGCUAUGUCGGUGGAGCAGCGGGUAAUAAUGAAAGUGGCCGGUGUUAUGAAUUUCGUGUUUAUUUCAAACACAAAUGCCCCAUAUGUAAUUUUAUGAUUUGUUUGUUUGUAGGAGCUUGCACCUCUGAAGCUUCGGUCUCACGGGGUCACCCUUGGGUGGAUGCACUAUAAUGAGCGAUACACACCGUAUGUAAGGGAGACAUGACUUCUCCCUUUCAUUCAGUUGGUCAGCCGGUCGACGCCACCCAACAAUGCUGCAGCAAUCAUGGCGCUUAUUGAUCAUUGGAGGCCGGAGACACACAAUUUCCAUCUUCGGACCGGGGAGAUGACCAUGACGCUCCAGGAUAUUGCUAUGAUCACCGGCCUUCCUAUCGAUGGGAAUCCUCUAUGUAUGAACACCUAUUCUGAUGGGUGGCGCGCGCAGAUGCAUGCCCUUAUCGGUAUGGUUCCUCUGGAGCCUCGGGAACCAGAAGUAGAAGACAAGAAGAAGGAAAGAGUCGCAGCCGGUGCUCCUUUCACGUGGAUUACAAUGCACUUUGGUACUUUGCCCUGAGGAAGCUAAUGAGGACACGGUCAACACAUAUGCUCGUGCCUACAUGUGGUACGUGAUAUCCAGGACUAUGUUUGCUGAUGGCACAGGCAAGAAUGCUCCAUGGAUGUGGCUGUAGGCGUUGACCGUCUUCGAUAGCAAAUGGAGUUGGGGUUCGGCGACACUGGCUUACUUGUAUAGAGGUAUGAAGUUGUUUCUUUUUCACUUCAUUGCUACAUUAUCAAUGCGAUCUUGAUGUUAAUUCAACCAUGUUCUCUUUUAUGUGCAGUUGGAUGACGCCUGUUGUAGGCCAUCUGGAGGUAUUGGUGGCUGUAUGCUCGCACUUUCCAUAUGGAGUUGGGAGCGUUUGCCGGUUGGACGACCAAAGACCGUGAAGUACGAGGAUUGGGACGACAAAGACGACCCACUAUGGCUCCCCACUUGGGCUUACGAGUGGGAUGUGUUAAAUGAGACGAUGAAUGAUCCCUCGGUCUUGUACAAGUUAUACAAGAGCGAGCUGGACGCGAUCACGCCUGAGCAGGUGAGUCGACAUUGCAUAAGUGAUUAUCAUACUUCUAUUGUAACUCGAUAUCAAUUUUGCAUUCUAUCCCAUUUUGCAGGUGGAAUGGGAGCCGUAUGGAAAAGGAGAGAGUUUUGGUAACUGAUACGUCCAUUGCAUCAUGCUUUAUUAUCAAUAUUUAUUGCAUUAUGGGCUGUUAUUACACAUUAUGUCACAAUACUUAUGCCUAUUCUCUCUUAUUUUACAAGGUUUACGUAAAGAGGGAGAAUGCCGGUAGCCGGAAUUCUGGGAUGGAAAAGGAGCAAAUAUUACAGACCUAUUCUGCACAACUCCAAAAGUCCUGAAAGUUUACGGAAGUUAUUUCCAGAAUAUAUAAAAAAUACUGAGCGUAGGAAGUCCUGAUAAUAUCUUCUACUCAACCAUUUACACUAGUUUUGUAAUAGAUGCUUCUUCAAAGAACAUAAGGAGGAUGCAACAUACCCAUUUCAUCUCUUCCAUCCUCACCUUUGCACCCCUAGUCCUCUUUCUUCCUGACCUGAUUCCUCUUAUGCUUGAACAGUUGUGAGAUAGGGCAUCAACAUGCUAGUCAUACCAUGCCUCUAAGUCCAAGUGGUGCUCGUAUUAUUUGUCUGCCCAGACGUCGGUUACCCCCCAGUGUGUUAUCCGACUCUCAGGUGUUGUAACCAUAUUGUCAUCUGGUCAGUGUCAUACUCUGUAUUCUUCCUCAUUCCUCAUGUCUCCUUUAAUAGAUCCAUCCCUUUGUCUUCCACAUUCAUUCAAUUUUCCCCUUAGCUACAAUCAUUCACAUCUUCAUUAAAAGGAGACAAGGUCACGCCUUAUCUUAUGUCAUCUUCAUUUUCUAUCUACCAUUUUCUUUAUGGUGUUGUGAGACAUUGUAUCGCUUUCCUUGGGGAAUAUGGCACUGCAGAGCUUAAAUAUGUAACUUUAACAAGAAUGUACUAUAUUACGUCCUCUAUCAAGUGACAAAAGGCGCUAGAUCUUACUGGCUAUCCCAAUGAAGUCGUGAGCUAGCUAGGUAGAUUUUGAGUCUGACUUCUUCCUAUUAAUCUAUUUCCCGGUUCUUCGUAGGACCAAGUCGGUUGUCCUCUAUCAGGAUAUUAGUAUUGUUAGGCAUGCUAAUUAUAUAGACAAUGAUCUUGCAUGUACUCUAGUGGGUCCUCUAUCACGACAGGUAUAGAAUAUUCUACCAUGAUAUUUAGUUAUUUGGAUACCACUGCAUAUAAAAAAUAUAAUAAUAUUUAAACCUUAAUUUACGGUUAAUGUGGCCCUUUAUAUUUGCUUACAUUACAUUUAGCAAAAAUAUAUUUACAUAUUUGAUCUGUGUGGUCCCUCAAAUCUUGGUACAAUAUUCUACCAAGAUUUUUACAUAUUUAGAUGUCAAAACAUAUAGAAAUGUCAUAAUACAUCCAGACACAACUGAAUUUAUCGAUGAAGUGAUGUUUUGUAUUUACUAAGGGUUGGAGAAAGAGAUUUCUUAAUGUCUCGAACUAAAAUCUCCAUAGAAAAUAUGUCUUCAAUUUUCAGUUUAAGAAGAAAUGAGCAUUUGUAAUGAUAAAUUAUUUUCAUCAUUUGUAAUGAUAAAAUAUGUCUUCUGAGAACCUCUGUGUUCACAUUAGAGUGCUUACCAUUAUCUUAGAAAAAUAGCUAUUUUUUAUUAGUUUGAGAAACAACAAAAACUUUAAAAAGAGUUAUAAGAUGUAUUAAUAAGUAAAUAGCAUAUAUUUUUUGGUAAAAUAACAAAAUUAUAAAAAGUAAAAGAGUUUAAUAUAAAUAAUGAAGAUGUGAAAACCUAUCCUAUGUAGUGCCAGAUCAUGUNNNNNNNNNNNNNNNNNNNNNNNNNNNNNNNNNNNNNNNNNNNNNNNNNNNNNNNNNNNNNNNNNNNNNNNNNNNNNNNNNNNNNNNNNNNNNNNNNNNNNNNNNNNNNNNNNNNNNNNNNNNNNNNNNNNNNNNNNNNNNNNNNNNNNNNNNNNNNNNNNNNNNNNNNNNNNNNNNNNNNNNNNNNNNNNNNNNNNNNNNNNNNNNNNNNNNNNNNNNNNNNNNNNNNNNNNNNNNNNNNNNNNNNNNNNNNNNNNNNNNNNNNNNNNNNNNNNNNNNNNNNNNNNNNNNNNNNNNNNNNNNNNNNNNNNNNNNNNNNNNNNNNUUACUCUUAAAAUUAGCAGAAAAGAAAUGACAAAACAAACCAUCCUACAUGUGUGCAUCAGAUUAAAGGUAGAAGUGUGGCUCGAAACCUUCCUAACUAGCUCACAACUUCAUUGGGAUAGCCAGUAAGAUCCUGAUGCUUUCUCACCGCUUUCUCACCUGAUAGAGAACGUAACAUAGUACAUUUUUGGUAGGGAGAUAGCCAUAUAUAUCUAUGUACGUGAAUAGUCAUAGAGAUUUGAACUUAUUAUUGUGUGAGGUACAUAAAAAAUAUUAAACUUAAAAACGGAAAAAGUAUUGGAGGAACAGAUGCUCGAAUAUAGGUUGGAUGGAGAAUAUAUAAUUCUGUGAAUAUUCCAACCAAAAUAUUUGAAAAUUGUUUUUCUGUGAACUUCUGCAGAGAGAGUUGUCCGACACAAUGAAGCAGAAAAUAAGAGCCGAGUACGAUGGCCUGGGAGGCAGCCCGAAUAAGUCUAUGCAGUCCAACUACUUUCGCAACAUUAUGAUCGUUAUCGCAGGAUUGACAUUUUUGACGUCUAAGGUCCAGAACUAAGAUCGUUGGUUUGAUAAGUCAUUUCUCCUUUUCAUCUGUUGUAAUUAACCAUUUUUCAGGGACUGGUCGACAUGCAAGAUGAACAAUGCAAUGUUUUUUCUCUUACAUGGUCUUGAGUUUUCAACAUUUGAUGUAAAGUGAGGCAAACCUAGUAAAUUGCUGGAAACCAUGUGACAUUUCUGACUUUUUUGUUGUCCUUGUCAUCUUACGUUGUUUGACUUUUUUGUUGCAUUCAUGUUUGAAAAAUAUUAUGAUGUUUUUUGUAGCUUCUUUUUGUUGCAGCAUUUUAACAUUUAUGUAUAAUAAAUUCCCUAGCCGAGCAUUGUGGAAAUGGAUAUCAAAGAUGGGCCUACGUAUCAUCCUCUCCUGCCCCCUGGAAUGCAUAUUUUCCUAAUGGUAUAAGAUAGUGUGGUUCCUGGGCUAGAAGGAAUCAUGGAUACAGGUCCACCUACCUGUACUUUUUGAUCAAAAGAGAAAUUGUCUCCAGGAGAAACUAUCAUGGUCAAAAGAUCCUCUAAUGCCCAAAAUGUGAGGUGGCACACAAACACAUAGUGCAAACCUAUACAGGACAGUAAAGGUACACUAAAAAACUCAGAAAGUAAGAAGUACAAGUAUCUUCAAACCCCAAGUAUUAACAGACUAGAACUGUGUAAAUUUGGAAAUUGCAGAGGGUAAAUUGUAUUUGAGACUGUAACACCGACAAGAGUAAAACCGGUACAUGUUACUAGUAGGUGUGUAGAGAGUGCAGCGGAAAAGCAUAUAUUGCAGUGCACAAACACUAAAAGUACAUGAUGUAGUAUUGGCUGGGAGGAUGAACUAAACAAGUGACACGUGCAUCUGGAUUCUGCUCAACUUGGAUCUGGGGUAUUGAUACCAUUGUGUCAAUAUUGAUGGAGAGAUAUCCCUACAAAUAAUUAACCUGUGAGUAAUUAUCCUUCACCUACUGCCAUGGCUACAACCAUGGCCUUCCAUUGGUUGUUCAAGCUAACCAUGGCAAACCUAUAUGCAUAUCAUACAUGAACAUUUGACUAGCAUGUUCCAGGGAAUUGAGCCAUAAGCUAUAACCUAUAGUGGUUGAGGAAUAGACUUUACUUUAGACUCGGUAUUAGGUUGUGAUAAAUUGCACAUACGCAGGAAAUAAAUGAAGGAUUUUGUGGGAACUGCAAUUUCAGGAUCUAUUGGUAUUAGUAAGGUACACGUGCAAUGCACGGUAGAUGUUUAGAUGACCAAGAUAUGAACGAAUAUAGACAUACCACACUAUAACAUGUAAUCAUGUACGAUUGGAGUCAUAUAUGUACAUCGUAGAUGUAAAUUUAAUUCUCGUAGUUCAUCCCAUUCAAAUCAGGUUAUAGCUACAAAGUAUUCAAAUAUUGCAUGGUAUAAUACUACAUGAAUCUCAUGUGAAAUAUAUCGAACAUAUUUGUCUAGGUAUCUCGUAAUGCAGUUUCGGGUGACUAGUAUUGCUUCUUCAAAGACAAAUGAAAUUUAUAAAUGUGCUAGCAUAGCGUUGAAAAAAAAUCAUAAAGUAAAAAUGAAUGGUAGUUCUUUUUGAAGAAUUGCCUGGGGGAACUAAAGUAUAAAAGUGUGAAAAACAAAUAAGUUCACGUGAUGUGAGGUCUGUGUAUAAAAGGAAUGGUAAUUCAAAAGGUUAGAUAAUUCAAGUAUGGAAGAUUCUAGAACAAAGGAAAAGUGCUUAUAUGUUGGUGCUUGUGCAUUGUGCUUACGCUGAACCAUGGAAUCUUCUAGAUAGUACCAUGUGGAAGAAUCUGAUGAAGUGAAGAUGACACCCAAUGGCCAAUAGUACUCGGAUUUGCCAACUUUGUACCAUCGGACUGGCUUGAUCCAACGGUCAAUAUGCAAAGCUAGAUGGUCAAUAGAAAUUGUUGGCAGACUGGAGUUAGAUGGUCAAAAAGAGAAGACCUCCAUAAGUGUGAAUGAGUAAUAUUUGGAUUUAGGUUGUACUUGUAUGCAACAAAAGUGUGGUACCUGUUCAACUUGAGUUCUGGCAUGGCAUCUUUAACUUGGAAUGAUUAGACCUCUUCUUCAAGAAUUCUUCCACAAAUUCUCUCCCAAAAGAGCAGCAUAAUGAAUCUGAAAGAAAAAUAAAUCUGGAUUGUUGGAUGCAUAAAAUAAAUUAGGUUCCAUCAAUGCAUGCAUGUAUGACAGUAUUACAAUUGCCGGUUCAGAGCAUAAACAGUAAAGCCUACUUAAGUAGCUCACACGUGACAUCAAACCUUAAUUUAUAAACGAAUAGGAAAAUAGUGAUGUGCCUGAAGAAUAUCAGUAGAAGAAUCUAUCAUAUACUAGUGCAGGUACAAGAAUGUACUACGAGACCAAGUGAAUGACUGACAUGGGCAGAUGUGUUAAUGCACAAUAAGAGAUGAAACAAAAAUGUAAAUGUUGCCUUAAAUCCGACAAUGGUAGCAUAUAAGCAUAUAAUGACGCCUUCUGUUUUUUGCCAAACACACAGAGUGGUGAAUUCAUACACCCCUGGUGGACUAUCUUUGUUUCUCACAAAUUCCCUUGGCACUUACACCCCUGAGAUUUGGUUAUCUCCCUUAUCUGAACCAUAACCCUCCCGUCUGACCACACAGGUCCUCCCUAUACCUGAUAGGUCACACUGAAGAAGAUUUUAAAUACAUAUUAGCGUGGCUAGAUAACCAAAGUACCGUAACUUAAAUAAAAGGAAUAACAGGAUAAAUAUAGUGUUUCUGCCAAACUGCAGGUACCAAGUUUCAUUUCCUCAGGUUGUCCUGUCCUUUUUUUUUGUGGGAUUUCCUGUCUUGAUCCAUGUAACUUCAGUCACAGAAAGUGUUCAUAUAGAAGAGAAACGAAAAUAUAGAGCAGCAAUCAGCCAACACAGUUGCUUGUUUGGUAGUAUAUCUCCCACGGAAAAUACAGCAAUCAAAUACGAAGAGGGGGCAGAAGCUCAGAUUUGCACAUCAUAUUGUGGAUAGCAAAACUUAACAGUGCAGCAAACAUGCUGGUGUGGGUGUUUGAAUUGGUUAACUCCGAACAAAAAAGAAAAACACUGCACUAUCAUCAAUCUAUCGCUGCUGGCAAUCUGAGGUGGAAAAUCCAUAUAAUAAAACAAAGUAUAGAUCACAAUCCAGCUGAGAACAGCGAGAUCGCCUCCUUUGCUGCAGAAGAAAUUACCACUAGUAUCUGCAACCAGCAGCUUGAAUCGAUUUGAAGCGCGUGAUCCUUUGGCUUGGCUCCUUGGCUAGGGCUUGGCGGGAUCCGGGCUGGGGUGGGAGUCUGCUCCUCCGGCUGCGGCCGUGGCUGCGCGCUUGCGGGCGAUGAAGGCCUCCAAGACCUCGCGGCGCCGGGCGGCCUUGGCGUACGAGGGCUCGAUGUUGGCGUAGGAGAGGCGGGCGGCGACGGCGAUGAGGACAGCCCCGGUGAGGAAGAGGCCGGCCGUGUCGCCGUGUACUGCAGCCACACCAUGGCUUCCUACCAGUAGUAGUAGUACAUUUGAUUUCACAGACCCUAGUCUCGGCCUGUGCGGGGCAUGGAAGACGGGAUGGACAUGUUCGCGCCAAAUGAAUGGUGAGGACGGAUGGAUUGUAAUACGUCUUCUCCUGUUGAGAGCGCCUCCCACACAGCGAGCAAAGUUUUCUUCAGAUUCAGAACAGAGCAGAGCAUAGGGCAAGAAUGAGAUUUGCAGUCUCCGCUCGUACGGCAGUCAGCAAAUUUGCACGGUUGUUGAGGCAGUGUUUGCGAUUGUUCACAAUCGCAUCAUCAAUUCAUGGAUGGACAUGGACUAAUUACAGCACGCACGACAUGAACUGCACCGUAGUACACACACCACAGCUCAGAGGAGAUUGACUCUACUAGUAGUACCAAACACUGUCUAAUAGAUCCGGCCUAUCGAAGUCGACAAUGGGCAAGGUCGUCGAUGGUGGCGCUGCUGCUGCCGUGGGCGCUGGGCGAGCCGGCGGGGACGUCGUCGUCGUCUUCGCCACCGCUUGUGCUGCUGGUGCCAGGGUAGUCGUCCUCCUCGGCGAUGGGGUCGAGGCAGCGCUCUGCCGCUUGGCGGAGGCGGAGUCUUUGCAGUUGCACGACGUGGAGUGUCUCCGGCGGGGCCGCCUCGUCGGCGGCGAAGCGGAGGACGGCACAGGACGUCGUGGCUGGGGCCAUGAUCGGUGGGUAUCUUGUUGUUUGAUCAGUUGCAGCGACGGGGAGGAGGUUCUUCGCCUGCUGGCUGCUGCUGUGGUGGGUUCGGCGAGGAGCAGAGCAGCACCCUGUUUGUUUAUAUAAGCCAGCGAGUGGCGAGGCCAACCGGAGGCGGACGGAGUGGCAAUGGAGCACGCGACCGGCAGACGAUUUAUGGCCACCGGCGUUGGCACGCCCUUCCUCUUCUGCAAGUAUCUUCUGCAAGUGUCCUCUCCUCAGCAGCAAUCAUACGCACAUACAUUACGUUGGCCGCCCAAUAACCACUACUUUCAGGCACGGCCAAAACGUGCUUAACUAUAGCGCCGGCAAGCUCACUUGUUUUGGCCUAAUUGGCGCGAUAUAGCCCCGGUUAUUUAAACGACGUACUGUGUCGCUUUCGAAUCACCAUGACAGAUCAAUAAUCUUGGUGCCCUCCCCUCACUUUUUCAAAAGAAAUUGCCCAACUACCGCACGUUGUAAUCUACUAUAAGCCAUGACUUUGUUCUCGUAGCACCGCUAACUUUUGCAUGAGAGCCAGCUAGCUGAACGUGUACAAAAUCCCAAGUAAAAAAAAAGCCUCCAGAAGCCGAGCGUGCGGUCGUACGCGUGCUUGCUUGGUUGCGUGUAUAUGUAAUGUACGUGUAUUUCAAGGUGCGUGGAACAAAACUCCUGCGUACGUGCGUGUAUCUUAGUUAGGUACGCCAACGGUUUCUGGUACGGCGUUGAAUCCAAGCCCAUCGCACUAGCUUUUUUCGUGUGGAGUUGCUUCGACCGUCGCUUAUGAGGCCCUUGCUUGUAACGUCCGAGCCUGCUCGCUUAUGAGACCGUGUGGAUGGACUCGCAAUAUCGUUUGCAUGGUCAUUUUCUUUUGAAGAGAAAACUAUAUUUUCACCCCGCAAACUUAAUGAUGGUUUGAAAAUGGCCCAUCAACUUCAACCGGAUAUUUUACAUUCAUUGGUUGCUUUGAGUCGUUUUGCGCCAAAGUGGCAUGGUUUUGACGGCUGAUUUGGUCACCUCAUCGUCCACCUUACCCCCCCUCUCUCUCUCUCUCUCUCUCUCUCUCUCUCUCUCUCUCUCUCUCUUGUUGGAGGAGGAGAGGGACGAAGCAACCGUAGGGAUGAAAGUCAUCUGGUGUCAUCAGUUAAAGGGACUAAGUUCUUCUAGUUUUGAAGUUGAGGGACCAUUUCUAAACAAUUGAUAAAAUCGAGGGAUGAAAUAUACUCCUCUUUGUUUUCGAUUCUCUUUUUGAAGACAUUGUUCUUGAGUAUUGUGUUUUGUGGCUAGUGGAUUUGCUACCCAAUAAUAGUUUGGUGGUAAAUGUAGGCAAAUGUAAGUGUUGCCGGGACAAUCUAUCGAAGAUGUCAUCGGUUUUUUCUGUUCUGCCAGACAAUGUGCUCGAUCUUUGAUGCUUGGUAUUGAUUGUAUGCAUAUGAGGAUGUAUAACUGUGAGACUUUGCCUUUUAAAAAAUAUGUAUAUUGGGAGGAGAGCCGUAUGUAUACGCUGCCCCUGAUAAUAUCCAACUCAAAAAUUGACACUAGUUUGGUACAAGAUGUUUUUUCGAAGAACAUAAGGAGAUUGGGCCCAUUCAAGAACUCAAGAUGGAAAUUGAGCCAUUUGUAUAUUCCGAAGAACUCAAGAUGUAUACUGUGAGACCCAUCUACUCUUUUCCAUCCUCUCCUUUCGACCCCUAGUCCUCAUUCCUCCCGACCUCAUUCCUCAUAUGCUUGAACAGUUGUGAGAUUGGGCAUCGACACCCUGGUCAUACAAUGCCUCAUAUGCAAUGCUUCUAUGUCCAACUGGCGUUGGUAUUACUUGUCUUAGCCCAGCCAUCGUUACACCCUAGUGUGUUAUCCGACUCUUGGGUACUGUAAUCCUAUUUCCAUGUAUUCAACGCCCCUCCUCUGUAUUCUUCCUCAUCCCUCAUGUCUCCUUUAAUACGUCUAUCCCUUUCUACGCCUUCUCCUCCCUUCAUCCUCCACAUGCAUUCAAUUUUCAUCCUAGUGAGUCCAGCUACGAGCAAGCAUUCACAUCUUCAUUAAAAGGAUCCAAGGUCGCGCUUAGUUUAUGUUAAGAAAACACCUUGUUUCCGUCUGCUGCUAUUUCUUGAGAACUGGGUCACAAUGACACAUCCCUAUCCAUCAGGUUUUAAGUCUUGUUGGGAGAGAAUUUCCGGCAACUCAGCUAGGUGUGCUUUGACUUAACAAAAUUCCACAUGGGUUCCUUGCUGCUCUGUAUUCUUCCUCAUUCCUCAUGACUACUUUAAUAGAUCCAUCCCUUCAUAUUCUACAUGCAUUCAGUUUCCCCCCUAGCUAGGUCAACUACGAGCAAUCAUUCACAUCUUAUUAAAAGGAGACAAGGCCGUGCCUUUGCGUAAGCCAUCUUCAUUUUCUAUCUACCAUUUUCUCCAUGGCGUUGUUGGGCAUUAAAUUGUUUUCCUUGGGGAAUAUGGCACUACAAAGCUUAAAUAUGUAAGUUUAACAAGAAUGUACUCUAUUAUGUCCUCUAUCAGGUGAGAAAUGCUCUGGAUCUUACUAGCUAUGGCAUGAAAGUGGUGAGGUAACUAGGUAGGUUUCGAGCCUCACUUUUACCUAGUAAUCUGGUUCCUACUUCCUCCUAGGACCAAAUUUGAAUGUCCUCUUAUCAUGAUAUUUCUAUUCUUAGACAAGCUCGUUAUAUAGAUAAGGAUCCUGCAUGUAUUCUAGUGGGUCCUCUAUCACGGUAGUUAUAGAAUACUCUACCAUGAUAUUUAGUUAUUUGGAUGCCACUGCAUAUAAAAAUAUAUUAUAUUAUAUUAAGAUUUAAACCUUAAUUUAUUGGUGAAUGUGUCCCUUUAUAUUUACUUACAUUAAUUUUUUAAAAAUUAUAUAUUUGAUCUGUGUGAUCCCUCAACUUUCGGUACAAUAUUCUACCAAUAUAUUUAGAUAUUUGGAUGUCAAAACAUAUAAAAACAUCAUCAUACAUCCAGACACAACUGAAUUUAUCGAUGAAGUAAUAUUUUGAAUUUGCUAAGGGUUGGGAAACAAAAUGUCUUAAUGUCUUAAACUGAAAUCUCAAUAGAAAAUAUGUCUUCAAUUUUAAGUUUAAGACAAAAUAAGCAUUUGUAAUGAUAAAUUAUUUUCAUCCUUUGUACUUGUGAGAACUUCUAUGAUCACAUUUUUAGAGAGUGCUUAACAUUAUCUGAGAAAUAGUUAUUUUCUAGUACUUUGAGAAAUAGCAAAAACAUAAAAAUAAAAAAGUUGUAAGAUGUAUAAGUAAGUAAAUAAAAUGUUUUUUGGAAAAUAGAAAAAAUAUUAAAGUUAAAAAAGUUUAAUAUAAAUAAUUAAUGUGUGAAUACGCAGCUUGUAUAGUGACAGAUCAUGUAGUCGAAUUAGAUAUAUAUGUCAUUUUUUUUGAAGACCUGAAGAAAUAUUUUAAGAAUGUAUAUUAAUAAUGACUCUUAAAAUUAGCCAAAAACAAUGGAAAGGAGAAACCACUCUACAAGUGGGCAAUAGAUUAAUACGAAUCUACCUAGCUAGCUCACCACUUCAUGGGAUAGCCAGUAAGAUCCAGAGCCCUCCUCACUUGCUAGAGGACAUAAUAAAGUACAUUCUUGGUCAACACAUAUCCAUGAAUGUAUAAGUAAGUGGAUAGUCGUAGGUAUUUAGACUUUUGCGAGGUACAGAAAAAAGAUUACGCCUAAAACCAAAGUAUGAUUGGAUGAAAAGAUGAUCAAAUAUAGGUUGGACCGAUAAUCUAGGGUUAUAUUCAAACUUCAUUAUAAGUUAUGGGAAGAUAAAGAAGUCAAAAAAUAAUGACAUCAGAGAUGCAAAAUACCUUGUUUCAUUAAUAUAUAAAUGUUGUUCUCAAAUCUUUUGGCAAAUCUAUUAAUUACACCGUGAUAGUUAAUGCUCUCUUUUUUGUCUUUGCCGCACGAAGUGGUGAAUCAAAAUAAUGAUCAAUUUAAGGAGGUUCAAACUCUGAGAACCAAAUGUCCUACGCUCGAGAUAUUUAAUGAGUAAAAAGUAUUAUUCUACUUGGAGACAAUAGAAUUAGACUUUUAGUAAGUGCGAGAAGAAUAUGGAACAGGGAGCAGCAGAUCAUUAGUUAGUUGUACAUCACACUGAUUAGAUGUGGGUGAUUUGGGGAUGAAUUUGUGGAUGAACUAGGGUUUUUCCGCCGUUGGUGGAUCAGGUAGGAGAGAGAAAUGUCGCUACGCUACACUAGAUUAAUUGAUAGUACCCUUCUUCUUACUUCAUUCAUCGCUCGAAGCACCUCAUAGAUUUGUUCUCGAUUACAACCUGACACGAACCUUUGCGCCGGUAGUCCUCUUUCCUCCCGACCUAAUUCCUCCUAUACCUGAACAGUUGUGAGAUAGGGCAUCGACACCCUAAACCAUACCUCUAAGUCCAAGUAGUGCUCGUAUNNNNNNNNNNNNNNNNNNNNNNNNNNNNNNNNNNNNNNNNNNNNNNNNNNNNNNNNNNNNNNNNNNNNNNNNNNNNNNNNNNNNNNNNNNNNNNNNNNNNNNNNNNNNNNNNNNNNNNNNNNNNNNNNNNNNNNNNNNNNNNNNNNNNNNNNNNNNNNNNNNNNNNNNNNNNNNNNNNNNNNNNNNNNNNNNNNNNNNNNNNNNNNNNNNNNNNNNNNNNNNNNNNNNNNNNNNNNNNNNNNNNNNNNACUGUCUAAUCCGACUCUCGCUAGUUGUAAUCAUAUUGUCAUCCAGUCAGUGUCAUACUCUGUAGUCUUCCUCAUUUCUCAUGUCUCCAUUAGGCUGGUCAUAGUGGAGAGUAACUUAUACUAGUGUCAUGCAUAUGACACUUGUCUAAGUUACUACCUCCAUAGUGCAAAGUAACAUAGUACUAGUAUCAUAUAUGGCUUCAUUUAUUAUCUUAUAGACUCAUCUUUUCUCGAGAAGAGCUAUAUUACAGUAACAUAUUAUGUUACUCUAAACACCUCUCUCCUCAUUAACUACAUGCCAUAUAAGCAAAUUUACUUUGAAAAGUGCUAUGUUACUAGCUAAGUUACUCCCACUAUGACGGCCUUAAUAGAUCCAUCCCUUUGUCUUCCACAUGCAUUCAAUUUUCUGCCUAGCUAGGUUAGCCAGUGGCGGAUCUAGGCCCCAGGCCCGGGGCGUGAGGCCCAUUUCGUUUGUAGACUGUAGCAAUUGCUACAGUAUACAAAGGGGGCCCGUGGCGCUGUGCUAGGAUGGAUCCGCCCCUGAGGUUAGCUAUGAGCAAUCAUUUACAUCUUCAUUAGAAGGAGAAGGGGUCGCGGAUUAAUUUAUGUUAAGAAUACACAUGGUUUUCGUGUGAUGUUAGUUUUUUAGAAUUUGGCAAUAGUCUGAUGGUAGGGUCAUAAUGACACAUACCUAUCCACUAUGGUUUAAAUCUUCUUUUUUUGCAUGAACUAGUGUUCAACUCUUGUUAGGAGCAAUUUCCGGCACCUCAGCUAGUUGUGCUUUGACUUGAAUAAAUUUCCACUUGGCUUCCUUGUAGGCUUUUAAUCAAGAAACUAGAAAAAAUGGUGUCAUUUUGUUUUCAACAAAAGCACUGAAACACUUAAAAACUACAGAGAGACUUUAUAUAGGAACUGUAGACCAACUCUGAAAAAUUCUCAGUUACACUAAUUUACAGUAUAACUAAACCCUACCACACCUACCUCCACAUCAACAGUGACAAGGUUAUGAUGAGCGCGAAAUCACUGAACUCGACCCUUCAGAGUUCAACAUCUACUGGAUCCACCCCUCAAAACUAAACCCUACCACACCUACCUCCACAUCAACAGCAAGGGAAAUAUAGCGUUCUACGCCUACCUCCAUAUCAAACAACCACAACACUGCCUCCAAAAAAUGCCCUAUGGGAUCCUAACCAGGAGGGAUUUGGCCUCCGUCCAAAGCAGGAAAAGGAAGACACGGCGGACUGCGCAUGGCACGCUGCAACCUCCGACGCCACAACCAUGGCGGACUACAAACACCAUGGCAAACAAACUCCGGGGAUCCACAAAAUCCCCUAGAUCUGAGACUACACGGCCACGAAACCACGGACAAAACGCGAGAGCCAAGGACAACUAACCAGGGCAGCCGGCGGACGAAGAGAAGAAGGAGAAGAAAUCAAAAUCCUGCGGUGGAUGAGCUCGGAAUCACCAUGAACAGAAGCAAUCGCCUCCGCCUCCUCCACCGUUGGAGCUCUCUCCCUCUGCCUUAUCGAAAUGAGAAAGGGAACGACACCCCGCUCCUACAUUCAAAAAUGACAAAAGCCAACAACCGGCCGGGGAGGGCGGGGCUGAGGAAAACGGGCUAAAAGCAUAAAACCGCGCCCGGUAAGAAAACCAAUCCGAAAACGAACACAAAGCAGGACGGGACCGGGCGCGAAUCUCAGCGCGAGAUCAAACGGAAUCAAAAUUGAAUGAAGGCGAAUUGAAAAAUAGUCGACUGAAAAAUAGCAAAUCUGAAUAUCUUUUCUCUUCUUGUCCGAUCGUGCCAUGUACAUACUCCUUCUCGUCUACCUCGGCCACUCCUCUGCACCAAUCAUAUGGGUAGGCAUGGUUGCUAGUUUCAGGCACUGGCCUGCAAAACGUGGUCAAUUACUUCCUCUUAUUGGCCGGCCAGCUUCACUACACUGCUAGCACUACAACCACCACAAUCAUCAGCACGGCAUGAACAAAAUGGAUGGUUCACAUAAUCCUGACCAUUGUUUCUGCUCUCUUAACACCCCCCCAAUCUAUCCAAUAAUGUUCAGAAAUCAUCUUAGAUGGGAUGCCUCAGAUGGUUUGCUGACAUGGACAAAGUAAAAUCGGUAUUUGACCAAUGGGACCCUCUCGUCAGACUGACAACAAGGCACAUUGGAUUAAAAAUAAUCCUAAAAAAACUAAUUAACCUAACUAAUUAACUUGGAGGGGGGGGGGCACAUUUUAGGCACCUAAAUAAGGAAGCCGCGUUAUGGCUCGCGGGCACAGAUGAGCCCGGGAGUGAACAGUAACAUCGUUUAAAAUACUAAACGAAUUAAAAAAUCCAAAUAGAAUUAUGUUGAAAGAUGUUUGACCGCGUGAUGCCAGUGCCAAAUUUGGUGAUACAUUCGAGGAGCUCGUGAAAACAAACUAAUUUGGGUCUGAGAGAAACAUUUGGAAAACAACACUGUUCAUGCCUGGAUUUGUCUUUUUGGCCUCAUACUCCUGGAAUGUCCAAACAUUACCAAAUUUUGCACGAACGUCGCACAUGCACAUCUUGCUUGCAAUUUUGUUUCUAUUUUUAAUCACCUAACUGUUCACCAGGCUCAUCUGAGCCCGGGCAUCGCAUUGGAUAUUUGCCUAAAUAAACCUAAACUAAUGAUGCCACGCUGGGCUACAUCGGCGAUUAGCCGCCAGUGACCAAAACCACGGUGGAGGGGCUCGGGUUUCGUUGUUCCGGCAACCAUUUGUUGCGCGGGUGGGCACUAUGAAGAGAGGAGACCAAGUUGAGCCUGUUGGUGGUCAUGUGUCUGCCAAGGAUGGUUGGAGUCGUCGCCGGAGACGAGGCCCAUGGCGGCAGUGGAACGGGUUAGACAUAGAUGUCGCUACGGGGCGCGACGGAGCUAGCUAAGGAGCACAAAGGCAUCCAGUAUUCGAGCUUCACUUCUACCUAUUUAUGAUGUUCCUAAUUCCUCCUAGGACCAACUCGGUAUGAACUCUAAUAGGAUAUUUCUAUCGUUAGACCCGCUCAUUAUAUAGAUAACGGUCUUGCAUGUAUCCUAGUAGUAGUGGGUCCUCUGUCAGUGUAGCUAUAGAAUAUUUUACCAAGAUAUUUAGGUAUUUGGAUGCCACUGCAUAUUUUUUUUAUUAUAUUAAGUGUUUCAACUGAAUUUAUCGGUGAAUAUGGUACAUCAUAUGUGCUUACGUUUAGGGAAAACAUAUUUAUAUGUUUGAUAUAUGUAUGAUACUUUCAAUCUUGGUACAAUUGUCUACCAAGAUAUGCAGAUAUUUCGAUGUCACAACAUAUAGAUACAUCAUAAUACAUUCAGCAACACAACUUAAUUUUUUGAUGACUUGAUGUUUUGAAUUUUCUAAGGGCCAGAGAAAGAACUUACGUAAUAUGUCUUCUAUUUUCAGUUUAACACAAAAUGAGCAUUUGUAAUGAUAAAUUUCGUUCUUUGUACUUGCGAGAACAUCGUUGGUCACAUAUUGGAGAGUGCUUAGCAUUAUCUAAGAAAUACUUAUUUUUUAAUACUUUUAGAUAGAACAAAAACAUAAAAUAAAAAAAUUAUACAUACUUAUAAGAUGUAUUAAUAAGAAAAUAACAUAUAAUUUAUUGUAAACUAAUUAAUUAUUAAAAGUAAAGGAGUUUAAUAUAAAUAAUGAAUAUGCGAAAACAUUUGCAAAAUUUUUAUCAUAAGUGAUUUAUUAAUGUUUGUGCUCUCCUUAUGUAUCUCUACUCCUAAUGGAGCAGUUGGUAGUCUCCGCCGGUCAAUUUUCGUCCCACCACUUUCGUCCGGUUUUUUUUUCGAAGGUUAACCUUGGUAGAUUUUUUUCGUCCUCGAUCCCACCUUACGGUUCAAAAAAAAAAACCCAACCAAAACCAUCUGAGCCCCGUCCCACGAAACGAAACCAGAGGAACGAGCCCCCUCGACUCCUCUCUCGAUCUGUUUCCUAGGGAUUGAACGCCGCCGCCGCCGCUGAUCCCAUCUUCCCCGGCGACAUGCCUCGCCGGCGGCCUCCUCUCCCCCAUCCAUGCCGGCGACCUCCCUCUACCCCGCCCUCUCCGUCAACCCGUCUCUCCAGCAGCUCGGGCGAAACCCUAGCCCACCCGAUGCCACGGCGACCUAGCAGGCAGGCGCGAGGAGCCCUGCCCAGCCAUGGCGACACCGCCGGUGGCCUCCUCCUCCCCCUCACCUUCUCUCCCUCUCCCAAGGGGAGGGAAGGGAAUGGAAGGGAUCCGGCGGCAAGGGAAGGCAGCGCCCAGAUCUGCAGCCGCACCGGCGGGCCGCCAUCCCUCGAGGUCGUCCAUGGAGGUCCGAACGUGAUACAGGCUUGAGGCCAUGCCAACAAGAUAGGUACGUCACCGCGCCCUCGACAUAUUCCCACUCCCGUGCACGUAUGGUCAAUCAUGUAUCGCUUAUCUUGCCCCAUACGGCCUUGGCAAAUCUCAAUGCUUGCUUGCUAAUGUGCGUGUGUGGACGUUGCCAGUUGCUGCUGCUGUGCACGUGUGCUUGGUGUGCCCCUGCUGUUUUGUGUUCUCACCACCACAUCCACGACAAAUAAAAUUUCUUAUUUUUCUUAGGAUCGUGUGUGCCAUGAUCUUCAUGCCUGGCAGGGUUUACAUGACGCCUGUGGACAACAGGAUUUUGAUGUCCAGUUAAACUAUCAUAUGGUUGUGCAUAUGCACUAUCUAUUAAACCGACAAUCCUUGUUUUUCAGGUUCAGGUUCGAUAUGUUCAGGGCUGAAGUAUGCUCCUGAGUUAAAGAAAGACCUUGAGAAACUCUUAGUGUGUUGUUGUUAGUACUACUCCAAUACUUUGGUGUGGGGUUGCAUAGUACUCCAAUAAUUUAGUGUGGGGUAGUAAAAAUGUAUUCAUGGUGGGAAAGCAUCAGUGGUUCGUAUUUGCAGAAUAGAGAAAUCAAUAAAUAUUACCAUUAAGAAAGCAUGCAUGGUAUAGUGAAUACUUAGUAUACCAGUCAUAUUUUCUUGUCAACAUGCACCUAUUUGGAGGCUUAUUCAAUAUUAUUGCAAUCUGGUAGAACUGUGUUACUACUAAGAAUUGAAUAUUUUUAGUUGGAAUACUAUUUUAAUGAUCAAUCACAAUGUUGGACGUGACCACCUAUUUAUUCCCAAGACUUUAAGUCUUGGGUGGCUUAAGCACAAUAUGCCAGGCAUAUGUUCUACAUCUGUGGCAUGUAAUGACCCUACUGGCAUUUCAAGAGGUCUUGUAAAUACAACACUAAGUGUUCACCUCAUGAGAUUUAUUAAAUGUUUUAGAUAUCUCGCUUGUGGAUGCUCAUCGGUAGCUAAUAUCCUGAGUAUAUUGAUAACAGGUUUAGGUCUGGACGGUUAUUGAGCCUGCAUUGAUGAAAUAGUUGACAAAGAAGCAACUGAAAUGAGGUUAUUGAGCCUGCAUUGAAGAAUCUUGGUUGAUGAGCUGAUAUCUGACCAAAAACUCAAGAACUAGAAGCAAGCCUGACAUCCUUUUUUUGUAAUCGGUAUGUUCUCAGUAGCAAGCCUGUCAUCCUUUUCUAUCCACAUGAGGCUUACUGUUUUUUGUACUUGUUGUCACCAAUCAAUAAAACAUUGUGUAUUCAUUGCAUAUGGUGAAUGGCCUUCUAGAUUUGUAGGUUCAUAGGUAGUUAUACAACAGCAGAGCCAUGUUUUAAAAACAGACUCGAGCCUUUCCUUGGUUUGGAGUUGGGCCCCGAUGAAACGUUCGACCGCAUGAAAUCAGUUCUUUUCAAGAAUGCAACUGCUUUUUUUCUCUCAUAGUUUCCACCCGUAACAUAUCACAAGUAUCUUCAGUCUAAGAAAAUAAGAAAAGUGAACUUACAUGAUUUUUUUAAAUUACUAAAUAACUUACUAGAUAAUGUAUAUUUCUGUUUGAGCAUUCCAAAAACUGAAUGACACUCCAUUAAGCUCUAGGAUGCAUAAGGUAAGGGAAAUAUAGGAAGCCAAGACAUCUAUAGUAAUACCAGAAGUGGAAGAACAAGGGCAAGAAAACAUUUAAAAGGGCCAAUGAUAGGCGGAAAAAGAUUCACGUGGUUAAUAGUUCAUGUUUUACAUGAUUUUUUUAAAUUACUAAAUAACUUACUAGAUAAUGUAUAUUUCCGUUUGAGCAUUCCAAAAACUGAAUGACACUCCAUUAAGCUGUAGGAUGCAUAAGGUAAGGGAAAUAUAGGAAGCCAAGACAUCUGUAGUAAUACCAAAAGUGGAAGAACAAGGGCAAGAAAACAUUUAAAAGGGCCAAUGAUAGGCGGAAAAAGAUUCACGUGGUUAAUAGUUCAUGUUUUACACCAAGGAAGAACAGAGGAAUGGAACCAAAGAGAAAUGAGUGAGCAUACACCUUUGCUAGAUUUUAUGAACUGGACUAAUGUACAAAAACACAUAUUGUCAUCUUGGUGCAUGUAGAUAUUUAAUUUAACAACUUGAAUUCCACAUGAAGUGUACUGUACUGGACUUCUUUGGGCUUUACAUGUGCUCAUAUUCCAUAAUUCGGAUCAGAAAUGAAGCCUAUGCGUAUGUAUAAAGCAUUUGCAUUAUACUAAUAUUGUGUGUGUUGUUUUUAAUGCCAAAGGUAAAUCUGAACCUGCCCAGACCACGGGGAGGAUUUCUCUGGUGGACUAUCAUUGGCAAGGUUGGCAUGGGAGUAGGCCAGUACCAUGGGUUCGUGUAGCUGGAGGACCGUGGCCAGUGCUGCGAUUGCCUAAUGUCCAUGUGGAGCAUAGCUCGGCAUGAGGUGAUAUCCUUUUAUGAUAACCUAGCUGUACACAAUUUCUUCAAAGAAAAUUAAGAUUGAUAUCAAACUUGAGAUUUGCAAUGUAUUUAAAUUAGUUCUUAAAUUGCUCCAAAGCUACUGAAAUCUCCCUUAUUAUAUUUUUCUGUAGAUACUGAUUGUUCUAAAUUAAACUCACUACUUAAAUUCCAUAGAAAUGAGAGGCUCAAGGAAGCAACAAGUAGGAUGAAGGAGUUAACGGGCAGAAGCAUAGAUCACAGAAAAACAAGAAUAUGUUUGCUCCCCAUGCUUUGCAUUGAUGUAUAGGUUCGGAAGUUUAAAAGCUUCAUGCGCUCCCCAUGCUUUGUAUUGAUGUAUAGUUAUGGAAUUUAGAAGCUUCAUGCUUUGUAUCUCAGUAUGUUCACAGUGGCUUCAAUCUACAAUUUAAAAAGGUGAAUAUUGGUUGGAUCAUUACACAAGUGAUGUGGCUUCAGUCAUGUUUCUUAAGCUACCGUGGUUAGAUCAUCACUAGGCCAUAUAGCUUACCAAUAACCUUCUUAAGUACUUCCACUGAACCAUCAUGAUUGCCGACUAAUUUUUGUGUUCAUGGUUAUAUUUCAGAGAGCCGGUUCAAAGAAAUGUGAACACUGGUUGGGGGUUCUAAGAAGGAUGACCCUAAAUGGGAGCAUGACAGACACCGUGGUCCAGGAAAUAAGGGGGAAUCCCGUGGUGUCUACUAUGCUUUCAGAAACCCUAUGCAGUCAGGGAGAUUCCUUCAGAUUUUUGCAUGAUGAGCAGGUAGUUGUAAAGGGUCGUGGUGUCUACUAUGCUUAUCAGAAAAGUGAGUGCAUUUGUGAAGCUUCCUGCAGAGUUUCACAUGAUGAGUAGGUAAAUGUGCUGCUUGUGCAUUUACCAAGUAGUUAUAUAGGAGAGCACACAAGCAACAGACCACACAUCUUGUGCUAAUUUCCAUGAUAAGUUUUAGCGCAUAUGAACAAGUUAUAGUGCCAGUUAAGUUAUGAAUAGAAAUUGAGUUGCUUAUCAUUGAGUAAAAGACGUUCCUUUAGAGUAUUUAUAGUUUUAUACUAAUACUUUAUCAAGGUGAUAUGCUGAAGAUUUGUGAUUAUCACAGUAUGGCCUUUACAUUGCUUCUGUAUGAUCUGACCUGUUGAGCUCAUCACAAAGACCAUAAAAAUUGGCUCUAUCCCUGAUGUCCAAUAAAAAAGGGGAACUAUAGCCUCAGAUCGAAAAAAUUUCUUUUCCUAUGUGAUUUUGCAGCGGGACUUGCUUAUGGAGACGUUCGCUCUGGGUCAAAGCUUAAGAGGACUGAUGCUUUUGACCAUUUAAUUAGUGUUUAGGUAUGCCCUCCUCUCCUUGCCCUUCAGCUGGAAUCUCUGAUAAGGUUGUAAUUUGCUAGUGCAGUGUUGCUCUGCUUUUAUUUGGGGAUUUCUCUGGGAUCUAAUUUUGAACUGUCAAAACUGGUUUGUUGGGUGCCGGUUGGUUUAACAUGAUGCUAUAAUGCCAUAGAGAGAGAUAUGUUUUUCUAGUACAAGUGGCCGGUUAGUUAAUUUGAGAUUUGUGCCUUUUGUUCUUCAGGCCUGAAGCUUUUGGUUUCAGGCCGACAGUUAAAAGUUCAAUUGGCUUGUAAAAAACUUCAUGUGACUGGACCAAUAGGGGGAGGAUAGCUUCAUAUGGAAAAUAAUUCUCCAUGGUGGGAAAAUUUGUUAUUUGACAUGAUUAUAUACAGAGAUACAACUAGCAGUGUUUAAAUAUGGGUUCAUCACAACCUAUGAUUCCUAUGUAUAUAAUUUUUGGGGCUAGAACUGCGGCCACUGCCCACCACCAUUACAAGUCAAUGAUAGGAGCUCCUUGGAUGUACUCAUGCAUGCUUUGUCAGAUCCUUUUCUUUUGAAUCGAUUGAUGAACCGAUGGCAUCUCAGGACUAACUACCCCGUACGUGUACUCCACUAACUAAGGAUAGCUCGUGAAUAUUUCAGCCUUUUUGUCGAAACGCUAACCAAAAUCACUGAAAUUCACUAAAUUAAGGUGGUUUCGGUUGGUGAUGAAAAUUUUCUGAAACUGAAAGUGAAAACCAUAGAAUACUGAAGGUGUUUGCAGCCUGUAAUUAGCGCCCUACUUAGCAUCAAGCAUUGAGAGAGGGCAUUUAGAUGAUUUUAGAUUUCACGACUUCGUAUCUAUUUUCUUAAUCUCUAAGCAUUUACACAGGCGACUCGCAUUGUAGAUGCUAUUCGCCUGCUGCUGCUAUCGUCCCUCUAUACACACAUGCACAUUUGACUGAUGAAGAAAAUGACUCAAAUCAUCAAACCCCUGAUUAUGUGUUGUGCUCUUGCAAGACUAAAACUGACACAUUCUCUUCUGGAUGUUAAUGAUGUUCGAUUGCAUGUGGUGGUUGUGUCGUUGAAGCUCACAUGAUCGAGUGUUUAUGCACAACUGAAGUUGGCACAUUCAGUUCUUCAUAUAUUGAACAACUUUCAAAAUUUAUGAAAGCAAAGAGCAGGCAAACCAUCCUCUAGGCUCUACUGUACCUCCCAUAGAUUUUUUUUACUUCCAAAACUUAUAAUGAACACAGCAGGUUCCAAUGCAAUUUCACUUGACAGAUGUUGUUAUUUAGGUUUUAGUCAUACUAUAUCAGCUUCAAAGUUUAUUUUUACUCUCAAGUAGUCAAUAUCUGAGCAUGAACACUCAAAUUAUUGCAGGGGGAGGAUUUCCACAGUAACCCUGGGCUGGUUAACCUAUUUGGAAUAGAAUUCCCUGAUUUGAAUAUCAAGCAUUCACAAAUGGAGAAUACAUUGUCUCGAGGUACAAUCCCACUUGAUUCUCAAACAAUCACUAAUUCAUGAAUUGAAGUAGGGUGAACCCAAGAUGUCCGGAGCCUCUCUUGUGAAUCACAUUGCUUACAAUGAUUUCAUGAUUGAGAUCUCGGGAUUUAACAGUUGUAUUUUCUUGUGGAGGAGAACAAGAUGCAUCUUUUAAAGGUGUGACUGUAGAAGUUUAGCUAAAUAAACAGAAUAUAUCUACUGCAAGUUGAUAUAUAGAAAAGUGGAUUUUUGCAUAGGUUUUGUAUUAUAUAUAUAGUUAAGUCGGUACUUCCUUUUCUUGCUUUGGAGUGAUUGUUUUGCUUGACUCAGCAUCCCUAUGGUUCUGAGAGGGGCUGGGUGGAUAGAUACAGAGGGCCUGGGUGCAUGUGCUUUAAUAUAUAUUUUCUUUUGGGGAGGGUCACCUGAAUGCACUAUUAAGAGGUUCACUCUUAACUGUUCUUGCGGAACUAAGCCAUCAGGCUACUAUAUAUGUCCGUUGAUUUAAUCACCGUUGUCUGUGCUAGACGUUCACAGAUCUGGAUGCCUUUGCUUGCCAAAUAAAAUAUGAACAAUAAUUAUGUUAGGAAGUUACACUAGCUUUGACGAUCCGAUCAUUCAUGGAAUGUUUUCCGGCAUUGCCAACAUAUUGAGUACUUCAGUUGUAAGUCUGUAAGCAGUUCUCUUUGAAAGAGAAAAAUGCACACAUGCUUCAGUGAAUGGCCACCCCCUUCUAUUUUAGUAACACUGCACUUCUUAGCAGUACUUGCUAAUCAGUAUGGUUAUUGGUCUAUAAUCUUAUUGUUUCUACAUUAAUUCUUUGUACGUAGGCCGGAUCAAGCGCAUCGCCGAUGCCACGAUCGCCGGUCUGCCGUGCUGCUCCUCUCAUGUGCGCCCUCGAUGCUGACGCCGUCCUAUUUUCCGCAGCCACCGCCGUAGGGCUCCGCGUCCACGUGCCCCUUCGAACCUACUGGAUGCAAUCUCGCAUUGCGCUGUCAUCCGCACUGUCUGGCACCACCUAUGGACACAGAACGACGGAUCAAGGUUUAAUGACUUUGAUCAGGCAAGAUACAUUCUGCCCGCUCAUCUCCCCGUGUUGCCGUUGGUAAGUAUGGUGGUAUUCUCCAUGCUUCUUUUAGUGCUUCUCUCUAAAUUCGUUGGGAUCCAAUUUUGUUCCUGCAAAAGUUGCUUGUGUUCUGUAUAGGUGUACGGUUUUCAUGUUAACUGGAAAGUACCAAAGUUAUCUAUCCUAGCUGCAUCAAACUACAAUUUUCUUGUUUUAUUAAUAAUUUAAUAUGAGAUAUACAAGAAAGUGCAGCGGGCAUGGCUUGUACUCAUGCUUGAGGAUAUUUGGCUUAGGCUCCUGGACUGUGUCAUGGCCACACUGAAGACGGGACACUUGUGGUUAUCUUCAUAUGGCAUUGGUGGUCAGAGAAACCAAACAAAGCUGGAGUGAAAGGUCUAUGAGUUUCAAUACAGAACAAAGGGUCUACGAGUUUCAAUACAUUGUCGAAAAAUUGUGCCAAACAUGAAAGUUGAUUUCAGUUCCUUCAUCCUUCUAGAGCAUAAAAAAAAUAUGAUGCUUUGCUUGAAAAAAUUAUGGAUUAAUUCUGGAAAGCAUUAAGUUUCCAUGCAUGCUGAUACUGAUCAAUCCAUAACUCUAAAAACAUGAUACCCUCUUUCACAUGCUUCAUAUAAGUUAUGCACAUGCCAUCUCGCUAAGCACUGAUAACAUGUUUCGUUUAACAGAUCAUCUGAGAUUUGCAUAAUUGUUUUGAGAAUGUGCAGGGCAGCAUCGACACCGGCCUUGAUCGGUGUCGGGGCAAUGGUGAACCAAUGAAGAAGCUUAAGGCGGCUCAGGUAGGGUGGCACGCGAUAUUGACAUCGGCCACGACCAACGUCGGAGGAUGGGUCAUUGGGACGGAAGGAGGAAGACAAAGAGGAGGAAGAAGACGAUGAUCACAAAAUUUUAACACUGAUAAAAAACAUGUGGUCGAUGCAUAGUUGCUCUUGUAGUAUCUGCUAAAGAAAUUCAUAAAAUAUGAUAUAUAUUCGUACGACUUCACUCAUGUCACUUAGUCAUCAGUUUGAUUUAUUUUCCUGUAUUUUGCCCGUGGCAACGCACGGGCAUUGUACUAGUAGCAUUAAGCGAUGAGGAUAUGUGCUAAUCCUGAUUGAGUCCGGUAUAUUGUGUCUAUUUGGUUGCCGAGCUACGUGCAUGAGAACAUUCCUUACCUGAGACUAGCCUAAGGGUGUUUCAAAAAUUGCCUAAGCAAGGCAACACAAAAUCUUAGUCAAUAUUUGGUUGAUGUUCUGAAAAUACGCCUGUGUGGGUAGAAGCGUGUUUGCCUCAAUUUUUGUCUGGGUUAUAGUCACCACUUGUUGGUCACGUAUUGAAGGGGGAAAUUAAAAAUCAGAUAAAAACAGACAUAACCAAAUCAAAUUAUCAUUACACUUAAGGUUUCAAUUUACAUCAUAAUUUGAAGAAUACAAAAGUCUAUUACCACUAUAUCAAGAAACUCCGUCAGUUAACAUGUCCACGUUUCCUACCAGAUCGGUUAUUAGAUUGUUUCAACACAACAGUGCAUCAAUCACAUGACCCGAAAGUCCACCAAAAAGAAACUCCGUCAACCAUGCGCAACACUACAGUCUACAACACCACUAUAUCAAGAAAUCAAGUAAACAACUGACAUGGGCACAUGCAUUGAUGCACAGUAAGAGAUGAAUCAGAAAUGUUAAUGUUGCCUUGAAUCCAACAAUGCUAGCAUAUAAGCAUAUAAUGACCCUUUGGUGGACUAUCUCUGUUUCUCACAAAUUCCCUUGGUACUCACACCCCUGUGAUAUGAUUUUCUCCAUUGUCUGAACUAUAACCCUCCUGUCUGACCACACAGAUCCUCCCUAUAGUUAUAGGUCACACCGAAGAAGAUUUACACACAUAUUUGCAUGGCUGUAUAAACAAAAUAAAUUGAAGAAAAAGGAAUAACUAGAUACAUAUAGCAUUUCUGCCGAAGUGCAUGUACUAAGUUUCAGUCCCUCUGGAUUUCCUGCUUUGCCCUGAUCCACGUAACUUCAGUCACAGAAAGUGUUUAUAGAACAGAGAGAAAAUAGAGAACAACAAUCAGUCAACACGGUUCCUUUUGCUAUCUCCUAGCGGAAAUACAACAAUCAAAUAUGAAGAGGGGGCAGAAGCUCAGAUCUAUAGAACAUAUUGUGGACAGCAAAACUAAGAAGUGCAGCAGACAUGCUGGUGGUGGUGUUUGAAUUGAUUAACGGUUAACCUCAAAACAAAAACACUGCGCUAGCAUCAAUCAUUUGCUGCCACUAAGGUGGAAAAAUCAUGAUAGAUCACAAUCCAGCUGAGAACACCGAAAUCCGCCCCCCUUUUGCAGCAGAAGAAAUUUCCAGUAGCAUCUGGAACGAGGAGGGCGACCACCAGGUCGAAUCGACACGAAGCGCGUGAUCAUGUGGCUUGGCUAGGGUUUGUGGGAUCCGGGCUGGGGUGGGAGCCUGCUCCUCCGGCGCAAAAUGAAUGGUGAAGACGGAUUCACAGCACUACAUGUUCUCAUGUCGAGAACGUUGCGCACACAAGAAGCAGAGUUUUCUUCAGAUUCAGAGUAGAGCAAAGGGCAAGGAUGAGAUUUUCAGUCUCCACUGAUAUGGCCGCCGUCAGUAAAUUCGCACAGUUGUUGAGGCAGUGGUCACGAUUGUUCGGCAUCAAAUUAACCAGCUCGCAUCAUCAAUUCAUGGAUGGGACUAAUUCAUGGAUGGAACUGCACCGUGGUACAUUACAUACACAUACCACAGCGAUAGAGCUCAGCUAGUGGUACUAAACUCUGUGUCUAAUUGAUCUGGCCUAUCAGCUAAGACUUUGCGCAAGGUCGACGGUGGCGUUGCUGCUGCUGCCGCCGUGGGCUCUGGGCGAGCUCGUCUUGCCCUCCUCCUCGGCGAUAGGGUCGAGGCAGCUCUCUGCUGCUUGGCGGAGGCGGAGCCGCUGCAGGCGCACGAUGUGGAGGGUCUCCGGCGGGGCCGCCUCGUGCGCGGCGAAGCGGCCGAGCGUGCAGGAUCUCUCAGCGGGGGCCAUGAUGACUUGUCAGGUCUGGUGCCUUCUUGCGCGAUCUGUUGCCGUUGCAGCGACGCGGAGAGACCUGCUGCAGAUGUGCGGUGGUGGCGGGGCACGGUGGGUUAAGCAGAGCAGAGCAGCUCUCUGUUUGUUGUUUAUAUAAAGCCGGCGAGGCCCACCGGCGCCGGAAGGAGCAGUACCGGAGCACGCGAGCGAUCGACGAUUUGUGGCUUCCUUCCAGGUAGGUGCUGCUUGUUGGGUCGCCUUCCUCCCUUCAUUUUCAGUCGCUCUCGCUUGCACCACGGACAAAGCAACCCACAUCCUUUCUAUGCAGCAAGUAUCUUCUCUGUUCCUGUACGAUCGCGCCACGCACGUACGCCUCCUCUUCUACCUGGGCCACUCAUCUGCAGCAACCAUACGCACGUGGACGUACUACACAACACAUGCAUACAUUACGUUGGUCCAGGACGUCCGAAAAUACUUGUCAUCAGAAUGAACAAAAAGAGAUGCAUCUAGAACUAAAAUACAUCUAGAUACAUCCCCUUUUAUUCAUUUUAAUGACAAGUAUUUCCGGACGGAGAAAUACUUUCAGGCACAGCCGAAACGUGCUUAAUUACAGCUCACUUGUUUUGGCCCAAUUGGCGCCAUAUAGCCCCGGUUAUUUAAACGACGUACUGUGUCGUUUCCGAAUCACAAUGACAAAUCAAUAAUAAUAAUAAUAAUAAUCUCGGUCCCUCCUCACUUUUUUUCAAAAGAAAUUGCUCAAUUACCGCACGUUGUAAUCUAUAAGCCAUGACUUUGCCUGCAUGAGAGCCCAGCUAGCUAGCUCUAAGGCCUUGUACAAUGGAAGGUGUUUAGAGAGAUGCUUAGAAAAAUAAACCGGGUUUUUUUGAAGCACCGGUGCCUAUUUCUACAGGAUAGACGCUUAACUAAGUGUCUAUCUUGUACAAAUAGGCACCGGUGCUUAAAGAAAGUUUGAUUUAUUUUUCUAAGCACCUCCCCUAAGCACCUCCCAUUGUACAAGGCCUUAUGCGAAAGUUAGCGAUGCUACGCCUCCAGAAGCAGAGCGGGCAUGCGUACGCGUGCUUGCUUGGUUGCGUGUAUAUGUACGUGUAUUUCAAGGUGCAUGAAACAAAUCUCCUGCAUACAUAUGUACAUCUUUGUUAUGUACGCCAACGGUUUCUAGAACGGCGUUGAAUCAAGCCCAUCGCACUAGCGUUUUUCGUGUGGAGUUUCUUCAGCCAUCACUUUGUGAAGCCCUUGCUUGUGACCAGUGGCGUAGCCAGAAAACCUGAAUGGACAGGGCCAAGAGCUGCUAAACUAGCUUGGGAAGGGUCAGACCAACAAAAUACAGAGAUAAUACACUGUUUUAGCAGAAAUACUCAGUUUCCUAGUGGAAAUAUUUGCAUGUUGGCAUGGGCCUGUCUCCGCCACUGCUUGUGACGGUCUGAACCUAUUUCAUUUUUCCCUGACCUUAAUGGAAAAGACAUGCAACCCUCUUGCAUGUUCUUGUUAUUUUUCUAAGCUCGUCUGAGGAAGGUAAGAAAAAUUAGCCUAGAGGCAUAGUGUCCUUGCUAAUUACAUGUUGGGUCUAUCUGGAUGGGACUCACAAUCGUGUGCAUGGUCAUUUCCUUUUGAAGAGAAAAGUAUAUUUUCAUCCAGCAAAGUUUGCAAAUGGACCAUCAAGUUCAACUGGAUAUUUUACAUCCAUCACUUGCCUUGAGUGGUUUUGCGCCAACGUGGCAUGUUUUUGACUGCUAAUCUCGUCGCCUCAUCGUCCACCUCACCUCACCUCCCUGUCUCCGUCUCGUCGGAGGAGACAUACCAAGCAACCUGAGGGUUGAAACUCAUCCGUCGACAUCAGUUUGGGGGACUAAGUUUUUCUUAUUUUGAAGUUGAGGGACUAUUUCUAAAUAAUUGGUAAAAUCAAUAGAUGAAAUAUACUUUUGAAUUCUCUUUUUGAAGGCAUUAUUCUUGAGUAUUAUGUUUUGUGGCUAGUGGAUUUGCUCCGCAACAUUAGUUUGAUGGUAAAUUGUGGCAAAUAUAAGUAUUGCAGGGACAAUCUAUUGAAGACGUCAUCUGUUUUUCUAUUCUGGAAGACAAAGUUCUUGAUUUUUUAUGUUUGACUGUGCCUUAGUAUAUGUUAAGAAAAAAACCUGGUUUUCACCAGCUGUUAGUUUUGGGAACUAGGCAAUAAUCUGAUGGUAGGGUCGCAGUGACACAUCCCAAUCAACUAGGGUUUAACUCUUGUUGGGGAGAAUUUCCAACACCUCAUCUAGGUGUGCUUUGACUUACUAAAUUUCACAUUGCUUCCUUGUUGCUGGAUUUGUUCUUUAUUUUGUGUAGUUUUUUUCAUAAAGAAACUGAAAAAUAAGGGGGUGAUUUCACUCGUUUAACAACAAAAACACUCCCCAUCAUUGCAAAUCCACCUACACACGCAAUGGUUGUAGGCCUUGGGCGCUCACAUAACAGUUAAUGAAUUGUAGACGUUUAUAAAUUUUAGUACCACAUGGCUUAGAGACACUGAAAGGGAUCUUUCCUCCGAUUUCAUUAAGGAAACCAAUAGUCUUAUACAACCAAAAUGCAACCUGCCACCACAAGAAACUGUCUGGGAGAACAACUUACUCACACUCAUCCCCUACUUUCCAUCUAAUCACAAGGUAGAGAAGUUGGACAAAACACAUAUGCAAUUCCUCCUCAAGUCAGCCACCCUCCAGCCUCGGGAUCCAAGGCGCCCAAGCUCCUCCAUGCUUGGAAGAAUUCAUUUGCCACUCGAUCCAGCAGUUUUGUGCACCGCCGCAGCCCCAACUUUGCGUCCUUGUUCACAUGCAAAGAACUCCAUUCAUUAGCCUUUUUGGGAAAAUCCAACGUGACAUUCUGAAAAAAAAACACUAGGAUCAGAUGGCCAAAAUUUCUGGAAGCAAGCUGAAUUUCUAGCUUUCUAGUUACUCCAAAAGAUAGCAGCAACUCCUACUGGGACUAAUAUCCCUUUCCCAGCCCCCAUCCCACCUAGCCAGACAUUAAAGCAUGUUUUUACUGAUACUGAAGAUAUGCUACUCCCUCCAUCCCAUAAUGUAAUAAGUUUUUUUGAUACUACACUAGUGUCAAAAAACAUCUUACAUUACGGGACGAAAGGAAUAGUUUAUAUGUUUUCUUCCAUGGGCUUAGUGUAAAGCGAUGAUGAUAGGUGCCUGUGCCGGUUGGGUCAGGUACUUUCUCCUGUAUCUCAAGGAUGAAUUGGCGCCUCGCUGAGUUUUGUUGCGUGUUUUUUCUCUCUUUCUUGCCGUUGCCGUAAUGGACACGAGUUUCGCAAAAUGCACAGUGAAUGCGAUGAUAGCGAAUAUAGAACAGAGUCUAGGUUAAGAUGAGCAGGGUAUCAAAGCAGAGCAUGGUGGUAGAUUAGUGGAGUAUGCGUGGUAAGAAGUCGAAGCUUGUUCAAUUCCUAGUAGCAAUUCGUACAAUUAGUUGACGAUUGACUGCAAAAUUGCUAACACCCACGAAUUCAUUACAUCGAUGGACUAACUACAGGGGCAUGCAUGAACUGUACGAGAUACAGAGGACACGGGCUCGCUAGUCCGUAGUACUAUAGUAAUCAACUACUCGGCGUGUCUAACUAAUCGAGGUAUCCUUGAGACCAGGCCUAUCGAAGGCUUGGGGCAAGAACCGCCGCUCUCGUGCUCCUGCUGCUGCUGCCGUGGGUGCUGGGCGAGCCGGCGGGGACUUGGGCGUCGUCGGCAUCGGAGUCCUCCUCCUCGGUGAUUGGGUCGAGGCAGCCCGUGGCCGCGCGACGGAGGCGCAGCCGCUGCAGCCGCAUGACGUGGAAGGCUUCCGGCGGGGCCGCCUCGUCGGCAGCGAAGUGGACGACUGCGUAGGUUCUCGCGGCGGAGGCCAUGGAUCAGCGACGGGUGGCGUCUCUAGCUUGCUAAGCUUGGAUCGGGCGCCUGAUUGCUUGCCGUGCUUGUGGACUGUGGCGAUGCGAGGGAGACGCAGGCAGCUUGGUUCGUUUAUAUAAAGCCGGCGAUGGAGCGGUGGAGCACGCGACCGGCCGGCCACUGGCCGCCCGCGUACGUAGACAUGGGUAGCUUCCUUCUUCCUUCCUUGCAGGUAUGCGGUUAGUUGUUGGGUUGCCUUCACUUUUCACUCACUUUCGCUUGCUCCACGAGCAAAGCAACACCCACAGCUUCGGUGGUGCCACCUCCGCCCGUUCCUGUCUUUCUCCAUCGUGCCACGCAUUUUGCUCAGCCGGCCAAUCUAGGCAUCCCGCGAUCUUGCUGCCUACUUCUGCACCUUCAUUUCCGGCACGAGCAGAACGUGCUUGAAUAAUUAAUUAUUGGUUCGUUCAUUACUUGGCCGGCCUGCAAAGCACUGUCACAUACUACAUGCACAUGGUGGAGCUCCUUGUUUUUGUAUGCAUGCCACAACGUCGCCGUCAAAUCAACUGAAAUCUCGGCCGUCGUUGUUCUAUGAGGUACCUGGCUGAACUACACGUCCUAUUCGAUGGGGCCGGGUGUGUAUAUGUCUGACGUGCACAUGAUGCAACAAAGCAAAUUUAUCAUUGAAAGCCCGUGUUAAUCAUCGUUUGGAACACGGGUAUGCAAAAUAAGUUGGGAAGCGUUAAACCCUUUUCUCGGGCCGCAUUGUAUAUAUAUGGAAGAUGCCAUGGCUUUUUUUUUAGCAUCAGUACAGACACAAGCACUCAUAUGCACACGCAUACACUCACCCCUAUGAACGCACACACGCACACCCUACCCCUAUGAGCACCUCCGAGAGACUGAGCCGGCAUAUCAUCUUAAGAUUUACGAAGUCACCGUAGGCGCCUCGUCAUCGACGGGAACGUCUCCUCCCACUGAAAGCGCAUCGUCGGAAAUCCUGAAAUAAAUUCAGGAAUAAUGCAAGCACCAGGAUUUGAACCCUGAUGGGUUGGGGAUACCACUGUCCACCUAACCAACUCAACCACAGGUUGAUUCGCGAAGAUGCCAUGGCUUACAAGCUGAAGUUCAGUCGUACAGAGAUUGUCCAAAGAAGGUCGGUAAUGAGAAUUAGGAGAGGGAACAGAAGAAGAGAUAGAAAAGGAGUACAAGUUAAAAGCUAGUCCUAUCCCUAUUCAAUUCUUCUAACACUCCCCCUCAAUCUAAACCUUAAGAAACAUCAAGGUUUAGAUUAUACUUAAACUCGUUAAGCCUUCUCAUGGCAAGAGGCUUUGUGAAGCCAUCAGCUAGUUGAUCACCAGUUGGUAUGAAUCUUAUGGUAGCUAUUCUUCCUCUGACAAAAUGGAAAUCAACCUCAACAUGCUUUGUACGUGCAUGAAAAACAUGAUUAGCUCAAAGAUAGGUUGCACCAAUAUUAUCACACCAUAACCUUGCAGCUUGUGGAGUAUUAAUUCCUAGCUCAUAAACCAAAGUCUGAAUCCACACAACUUGAUCUGUAGCAUUUGCUAGAGCUUUAUACUCAGCCUCGGUGCUUGACCUUGAGACUAUGGCCUGUUUUCUUGCACUCCAUGAUAUAAGAUUUGUUCCCAUGAAUACAACAAACCCACCUAUGGAUCUUCUGUCAUCAGCACAUCCUGCCCAAUCUGCAUCAGAAUAGGCAGACACAAGCAUAGAAGAAGACUUGACAAUUUUUAGUCCAAAUCCUUCUGACAAUUUGAGAUAGCUCACAAUUCUUUUGACUACUGUCCAGCGAUUAGUGGUAGGUGCAUAUAAGUACUGACACACUUUGUCCACAGAAUAAGAAAUAUCAGGACGACUAAGAGUCAAAUAUUCCAAUGCACCUACAACACUUAUUUAGUUUAUUGCAUCCUCAGGUCCAAGUGCUUCUCCACUAUCAAUUGUAAGUUUUUCUAAAGUUGAAAUUUGUGUACUUAUAUGCUUCCAAUUUUCCAAUCCUACUCUCUUCAGAAUGUCAUUAGCAUAAUUUUCUUGUGAAAGAAUUAUACCAUCCUUUACCUUCUAGACUUCUAUACCCAGAAAGACAGAUGUUGGCCUUCAAAGACACCUUGGAGAUAUGUGAGUUGUUAGAUUUAGGUUUUUUAGGUGUGACUUUUACCUCUGGUAUUGAACAUGAAUAUAUUUGCGAGUAGUUACUUUUUUUCUUGAGCACAUGGGAGAAGUCCGGUAAUAAGUAAUCAUGUGAAUUUGGUAUUCAUUCGAUAUUUUGACGAUAUGUACGUAUGUUGUGAUUCCCUUAGUGGUAUUAUGUGAACGUCGAGUACAUGCCACUUCACCAUACUUGGGCCUAAGGGAAGGCAUUAUGGAGUAGUAAUUAGAUGAUGUGUUGUUAGAGUGACAAAAGCUUAAACCCUAGUUUAUGUGCUAUUCCGUAAGGGGCUGAUUUGCAACCAUAUGCUUCAAGAUAUGGUUAGAUUUAUCUUAAUUCUUCUUUCGUACUUGCGGAUGCUUGCGAGAGGGGUUAAUCAUAAGUGUGAGGCUUGUUCAAGUAAGAAUAGCACCCAAGCACCGGUCCACCCACAUAUCAAAUUAUAGUAACGAACACAAAUCAAAUAAACAUGAUGAAAGUGACUAAAUGGAUUCCCAUGUGUCCUCAAGAACGCUUUACUUGCUAUAAGAGAAAGUUGCACUGGUAGAAAAAGGGCCUAUAGUCCCGGUUCGUAAGGGCCUUUAGUCCCGGUUCUUGAACCGGGACUAAAGGGUCGGUACUAAUGCCCUGACCCUUUAGUCCCGGUUCAAUCCAGAACCGGGACUAAAGGCCCUCCACGUGGCCGGUCCACCUUUAGUCCCAGUUGGUAACACCAACCGGUACUAAAGGAAACUUUCUGAUUUUUUUUUUGAAUUUUUUUUUGAAUUUUUUUGAAUUUUUUUUAUUUUCAAAUUUCUGAAUUUUUUUAAUCUCUAAUCUCUAAUCACCCCUCAUCACUGCUCAAUUUAAUCUCUAAUCACCCCUCAUCAUUCCAAAUCAUCUAACUUCCCGGACGGUCACGCAUCCUCCCACUCCCCCAGCCCGAGCACGCUUAACUUCCGGGUUCUAUGCUCCCUCGUUUCCAAGUCUGCACUCGUUGUUUUCCUGACAAUAGUAAGAUGUCAAUCCUAUUAACCCUCAGGAGUUUAGCUUGAGCAUGAAGUCACAUUUCACUGUUUGAGUUUGAAAUUAUUGUUCUAAAAAACAAUAAUUUUUUAGUAACACUAAUAAUUCUUGAAUAAGUAGUUUGACCAUUGUUUGACCACAGUUUGACCAUAGUUUGACCAGAUUUGACCAAAAUUCAAAAAAGCUGAAAUAAUUAUUUAAUAACACUAAUAUUCUUGAAUAAUUAUUUAGUAACACUAAUACUUCUUGAAUAAGUAGUUUUACCAUAGUUUGACCAGAUUUAAUGAAAAUUUAAAAAAACUGAAAUUUGAGCAUAACUUUUUUUCCUUUUGAAAUUUGAGGAUUCUACAAAUUUGCAAACAGGCCGUAGGCUGUCUCCAUCAACUGUCACCCAUAAAUUUUCGAGUAGAUGAUUUUUCAUAUAAAAAACUUUUUAAUCCGAGUUCGUAUGCAAAAGUUAUGCCCAUUUUACAAAUUCCAGAGAGAUUUUGUAAAUAAAGUCGAAAUUCAUAUUUGUAAAUUUUCCCAACAACUAGACCACAUAUCACAUGGGAAACUUAUUUUAUUUUAUUUUUUGACAUUUCCAUCAUUUUCUUUUGUUUUUUCUAAAACUGAAAAGGCGGUCCACAGGGGGGGGGGAGUUUGAAAAUGGGACCUUUAGUACCGGUUCGUGCCAUGAACUGGUACUAAUGCCUGAAAGCCCAUUAGCAACCGGGACUAAAGGUCUAACCUUUAGUACCGGUUGGUGCCACCAACCGGGACUAAUCGGCAUCGCACCCUUUAGUCCCGGUUCGUGGCACGAACCGGGACUAAAGGGCCCAGGUGAACCGGGACUAAUGCCUUAGCCGCACGAACCGGGAUAAAUGCACCCAUUGGUCCCGGUUCUGGACUGAACCGGGACUAAUGGGCUUACCCGACCUGGACCAAAGCCCCCUUUUCUACUGGUGUUGCGACCUGUCCUUUGAUGCAAAAAGGAUUGGGCUACCUUGCUGCACCCUUGCUACUAUUGUUACAUGUUACUUGUUACAAAUUACGUUGCUACCAAACUAUCUGUUAUUGAUAAUUUCAGUGCUUGUAGAAAAUACCUUGCUGAAAAUCGCUUGUCAUUUCCUUCUGCUCGUCGUUGGGUUCGACACUCUUACUUAUCAAAAGUAGUACGAUUGAUCCCCUAUACUUGUGGGUCAGCAGCCCCGAAUUGGCUUUAGGCCAACUAGCUGAUUAAGUGCCCCUUCCCAAUUCUAUAAUGGUUGGCUAUCGACAUACGACUAGGCAAAGAGUGGAUAGGAGUGCAUCUUCUUCCUCCUCCCCUCCUUCUCUCGAGUUGUAAUUCGUAUUCUUGGUGAACUCUAUGGAGAAAUGGAUCGAGGAUAUCCAUCAUAAGUCGGUAUCAGGAUAGAUAAUAAUUCAAAUUUCACAAUAUCGAUCCAUCUAAUCACGCAGAACAUGACCGAUGAGUCUCUGUUGCAAUAACACAAUUGUGACAGUAUGAAGACCUAUUUUAAAUAACAAAAACUAUAUUACGAACACUGGAACAAAGAAAAUUAUUACCAACAAUUUCUUUAUAAUGUUGUCUUGUUAAGAGUGUGCAUCAGUAGUUUGUAUGGUGCAGAACUUGGUGCAUGUGCAUAUUUGCCCAGAAGCAAGUUAACACAGUUAGCAAAACUGAUGAAAAACCACAUCUCUUUCCAUGUACAUGUGGUUCCGGCAGUAUAGUAAGUUCCAUGAUGUCUACUCUUUCUUGUGUUUCUUCUUACAUAGUAUAGUAAGCUGGGUAGAUAUGGACAAGAUUUAUACCAUGUGUAGAUAUACAUAUGCAGGAUUUAACAGAUGCUCAAAAUUUUAUUCUUUGUUAUGAUGAAUGUCAGAGGAUUGGUAAUAUUGGUACACAUUAGGAAAUGUGUAUGAACUAUUCUUUAGAAGUUACACCACUUGAUGCAUGAGGUUUUGAUUAUAUCAGACCUUUUCUUAGUUCUCAUGGAUAUACUCAUAUUUUAGCCAUUUAGUGUAUGGCUUUAUGUCACCUUCAUUUUUUAGGUACAUUUAUCUCCAUGGUGUUCUAGGGCAUUGUGUCGCUCACAUUCAAAAAUAUGGCACUACAGAGCUUAAAUAUGAAGUCUAACAAGAAUGUACUAUAUUAUGUCCUCUAUCUGGAGAGAAAGGCCCUAGAUCUUAUCGGCAAGCACACGAAGUGGUGAGCUAGCGAGCUAGUAUUCGAGCUUGACCUCUACCUAUAUUAAUAAUAUUCUUAGUUCCUCCUAGGAACAACUCGGUAUGACUUCUAAUAGGAUAUUUCAAUUGUAUGCCUGCUCAUUAUAUAGAUAACGGGCUUGCAUGUAUUCUGGUGGGUCCUUUGUUAGGGUAGUGAUAGAAUAUUCUACCAAGAUAUUUAGGUAUUUGGAUGCCACUACAUAUAAAUUCUUAUAUCAUAUUAAGUUCGCAACUGAAUUUAUCUGUGAAUAUGGUCCAUCAUAUGUACAUAUGUUUAGGGAAAUGAUAUUAUAUGUUAUGUUUGAUCCCUCCAAUCUUGGGACAAUUUUCGACCAAGAUAUUGAGAUAUUUCGAUGUCACAACAUAUAGAUAUAUCAUAAUACAUUUAGCAAUACAAGUUAAUUUAUUAAUCAAUUCAAGUUUUGAAUUUUCUAAGGACCAGGGAAAGAAAUUACGUAAUAUAUCAAACUAAAAUCACCAUAGAAAAUAUGUCUUCUACUUUUACCUUAACACAAAAUGAGCAUUUGUAUGAUAAAUUGCAUCCUUUGUACUUUUGAGAACUUCUUUGUUCACAUGUUGGAGAGUGCUUAGCACUAUCUUAGAAAUGCUUUUUUUCUUGAACUUUCAAAAACAACAACAAAAUAAAAAUUAAAAAAUUAUAUACAUAUCAGAUGUGUUAAUAAAAAUAAUAUACAAUUUGUGGUAACUAAUUAAUUAUUAAAAGUAAAAGAGUUUAAUAUAAACAAUAAAUAUGUGAAAACAUUUUUACAUUUGUAUCACAAAUGACCUGUUAAUAUUUUCAACGUUUAUUUUGAAAUAAAAAGGUAAUAAAAUUGGCUUUAUUCUUCUGGUUUAUACAAUUUUAUCAGCCUUCGUUUGUCCAUACAAUUUUCAGUGAACAAUACAUUCUUCUGGGCUCUGAAUUACUAUUGCAAUGUCGCCCCCUAUACCCAUCAAAACUACAAGGUCUGGUCAAGUCAUACUAUUCUCCACCGAAACACAAUAUCCAUCAAUGCAUGCUUGGCCCGGCUAUACAUCCCCGGCCGGCCACGUACUCAGUAACAACGACGUAGGUCUCGGUGUUUGUAGCAACAUGCAUCUUGGCAUUUCUCUUGCGCCAGGUCAGCAACUAAUUGUGAUUAGGCCGAUGCAUGGGUCAGGCCAGCAACGAUAGAGAUUUUGUGUUUCUCUGUUCGGUAGAAACGUCACGGUUCGUGGUAUUGCUAAAAAGGGUCAAAUCGUGAAAUAAAAUCUGAGAGAGUUUAUUUCAUGCUAAAGUUUACUGAGAAGCUCAAAAUAGUGAUUUUGGCCACACUGGUGGGUGUCUUCUUGGGCGAUCAAUCAUCGUUGCAGCAAUGCAGAGAGGUUUCUUCGCCUGCCGCAGCUGUGCAGUGGUGGUGGUGCACGAUGGGUUAAGCGGAGGAGAGCAGCUCUGUUUGUUUAUAUAAAGCCGGUGAGGCGGGCCGGAGACUGAGCAGAUGGGCACCAGCAUUGGCGCGUGCGCACGUUUGGUUGGGUCACUCUCACUUGCACCAUGGACAAAGCAACCGAAUAUCUCGGCUGUGCCACGUAAGUCAUUUCUCUGCAAGUAUCUUCUUUGUUCUUUGUUCUACACAGUCCCACACCUUAAUCAUAUGCACGUGGACGUAAUACACAUAGACAUUACGUGGCCUAACUCGCCAGUUUCUAGCACGGGCAUGCAAAACAUGCUCAGUUACUCGCUCUUAGUCAUGUGCGUGCUUGCGUAUAGCUUCACCUGUUUUGGCCUCAUUGGCGGGUCCGAAUCACAGUCACAAUCACAAAUAAAUAAUCUUGGUCCUUCCUCACUUGUUUUGCAAGGUAUGUACGUGAACCAAAUCCCCUAUGUGCGUAUGUGUAUCUUUGUUAGGUAUGCCAACGGUUUCCGGUACGCCGAGCAAUCCCAUGUUCUUUCAUGCCAUGGGGUUGAAUCUGAACUCGUGGCCUUGACAAUUCUAUGUUGUACUCCCUUCAUCCCAUACUAAAGUUGUGACACUUAUUUUGAAACGGAUGGAGUAUAAUCUUGUGUGGAGCUUGGGCAAUCUGGUCAGAGAGGAAGCGCAAGAACACAUGGAGAGACCACCCGAUCUACUAAACAGUCUGUCAAGUGGGCUUUGGAUGAACCUACUCAUUCGUAGGAAUCAAGUAAAAAAUAUGGUUCUAAAGCCUGUAGAAGACCCGGUCAAAUAGCAGCCACCUGAUGGAUAAAGAUUAAUGUUGAUGCCUCCUAUAGUGAACCUGAUCAUCACGGUGGAACUGGACUAGGGGUUCAAGACCAUGCAGGAAAGCUGAUUCGGGCACAAGCGAUCUGGUAUGUAUUUGGAAUGUCUGCAGUGGCCAUGGAGGAAUUUGCUCUGCGUGAUGAAGUUCAACUUGCAUCUGACCUGAGUUAUAGAAGGGUUAUUAUUGAAACUGAUGCCUUCUUUAGUAGUUUGCCAAUGGAAUACUCCAAGUGCAGAUCGCUUGAAGAUUGCUACUACUCUUAAGGAAACCCAAGAGCUUUGCGGGAAUUUUGAAGAGUUUCGGCUUGUUUUUAUGGCCAAGAGAAGCUAAUGAGCUUGCACAUCUUUGUGCUACACAAUGUAGCUCCUUUAAGACGUACUAGAUGUCUUUGGAUUAGUUACAUUCCGUCUUUGCUCACGGAUUGUAUGAGUAAGUAGUGUAUUCCCGCUGAUUAAUUAAUAAAGCUUUCUUUUUUUGUACCAUUGUCGCAAUGGAUAUGAUUGCUCAAGUGAUGGGGAAUACGUCUUCAUGCACACGAGGAACAGAGUCACAGGUUAAGACGAGCAGGGUAUAAAAGCAGAGCAAGGGGAUUUUUUUACCUAGAUGCCAUGUUAGUGGAGUAUGCGUGCUAAGAAGUCGAAGCUUGUUCGAUUCCCUGUGCAAUUUGUAUAUUUUUCUCGCCGAUUCGCAGCGAAUUAGCUAACUCGCAUGAAUUAAUGCAUGGACUAAUUACAGAGGAAUACAUGAAUUGGACGGGAGUACCCGAAAGCGCGCCUAGCUCUAACUGAGAUGGACUUGCUAGUCCGAACUCGGUGCAUCUAAUCAAUCCAGCAUCAAGACCGGGCCUGUCGAAGGAUCGGGCCAAGAACGGCCGCUCUAGUGCUGCUGCUGCUGCUGCUGCGGGCGCUGGGCGAGCCGGCGGGGACUUGGGCGUCGUCGGCAUCGGAGUCCUCCUCCUCGGCGAUGGGCUCCAGGCACCCUUCCGCCGCCCGGCGGAGGCGCAGCCGCUGCAGGUGCAUGACUUGGAUGGUCUCCGGCGGGGCCACCUCGUCCGGGGCGAAGUGGGCGACGGCGCAGGAUCUCGCGGCGGAGGCCAUGGAUCAGCGGUGGGUGGCGUCUUCUUAGCCAAGCUUGGAUCGAGAGCUUGCUUGCUUGCUCACUGUGUUUGUAUGCUGGGCGGUGGACUGUGGUGGAGGGAGACCGCAGCGGGCCUGGUUUCU